rnacentral:rRNA from 1 species
UUGAACGCUGGCGGUAUGCUUAACACAUGCAAGUCGAACGGAAACGAUACUAGCUUGCUAGUAGGCGUCGAGUGGCGGACGGGUGAGUAACGCGUAGGAAUCUGCCUGAUAGUGGGGGAUAGCCCGAAGAAAUUCGGAUUAAUACCGCAUAAUCUAUUCGUAGUAAAGUGGGGGACUUUCGAGCCUCACGCUAUCAGAUGAGCCUGCGUAAGAUUAGCUUGUUGGUAGGGUAAAAGCCUACCAAGGCGACGAUCUUUAGCUGGUCUGAGAGGAUGAUCAGCCACAUCGGGACUGAGACACGGCCCGAACUCCUACGGGAGGCAGCAGUGGGGAAUAUUGGACAAUGGGGGCAACCCUGAUCCAGCAAUACCGCGUGUGUGAAGAAGGCCUGAGGGUUGUAAAGCACUUUCAAUUGUGAAGAAAAGUUAGCGGUUAAUAACCGUUAGCCUUGACGUUAACUUUAGAAGAAGCACCGGCUAACUCCGUGCCAGCAGCCGCGGUAAUACGGAGGGUGCAAGCGUUAAUCGGAAUUACUGGGCGUAAAGCGUGCGUAGGUGGUUUAUUAAGUCAGAUGUGAAAGCCCCGGGCUUAACCUGGGAACUGCAUUUGAAACUGGUCAACUAGAGUAUGGUAGAGGAAAGUGGAAUUUCUGGUGUAGCGGUGAAAUGCGUAGAUAUCAGAAGGAACAUCAAUGGCGAAAGGCAGCUUUCUGGACCAAUACUGACACUGAGGUACGAAAGCGUGGGUAGCAAACAGGAUUAGAUACCCUGGUAGUCCACGCCGUAAACGAUGAUAACUAGCCGUUGGGGGGAUUUACCCUUUAGUGGCGAAGCUAACGCGUUAAGUUAUCCGCCUGGGGAGUACGGCCGCAAGGUUAAAACUCAAAGGAAUUGACGGGGACCCGCACAAGCGGUGGAGCAUGUGGUUUAAUUCGAUGCAACGCGAAGAACCUUACCUGGUCUUGACAUCCUGCGAACUUUCUAGAAAUAGAUUGGUGCCUUCGGGAACGCAGUGACAGGUGCUGCAUGGCUGUCGUCAGCUCGUGUCGUGAGAUGUUGGGUUAAGUCCCGUAACGAGCGCAACCCCUAUCCUUAUUUGCCAGCACAUCAUGGUGGGAACUAUAAGGAGACUGCCGGUGAUAAACCGGAGGAAGGCGGGGACGACGUCAAGUCAUCAUGGCCCUUACGACCAGGGCUACACACGUGCUACAAUGGGAAGGACAAAGAGCCGCGAAGCCGCGAGGUGUAGCUAAUCUCAUAAACCUUUUCGUAGUCCGGAUUGGAGUCUGCAACUCGACUCCAUGAAGUCGGAAUCGCUAGUAAUCGUAGAUCAGAAUGCUACGGUGAAUACGUUCCCGGGUCUUGUACUCACCGC